GAUCAUGUGGCCGAGUGGUCUAAGGCGCUGGAUUAAGGCUCCAGUCUUUUCGGAGGCGUGGGUUCAAAUCCCACCGUGAUCA
rnacentral:tRNA from 1 species